UUUGUCGUUCAUGGGUGGACUGCUAAACUUUACGCAUAUGUUAUUAUUAUUCUUGUGAUAUGUGUAUUUAAUUGCUUUAAUUUUAUUGGAAUUUUUCGUACUUCCUACCAAUCUACCUAAUUUUUAAACUUAUAUUAGGUCCAAUCGUUUACUAGAUAUCUUCAUUAAUAAGCAAUAUUUAGACCAAUUUCCUAAUACUGGAAAUUCUCACUAAGCUAGACAAACGGUCUAUUAUUCUGAGAAAGUAAAUCACUAACGGAAAUCGGUGUACAAAUGUUUGGUAAUCAUGGAGAUCUCAUAAGGAAUCUUACCAUCUUGGUAAUUAUUGGGGAAGUUGUAGUAUUCAGAAAUCUGGUGUACAUAAUAAUCAGUGAUUUACCAUCAAGUUAUUCCUAAUUCAUCUACUGCCAUAUUUGAAAAAUAGAUGGUCAAAUGAAUUUCUCCACUUAUUUUAUCAAAUGAUACAUUAUCAUUUGCUCAUUUCGGAUUUAGAAUCUAACAUAGCAUAGUAUAUCAAGUUUACAGAGUGAUUUAUGCUAUCUCAACCUCUUCCGAAAAAUAAAUUUGAUUGUACCGAUGCGUUUCUAGACACCUCUCAGGCAUUUGAUAAUGUAGCAUAAAGGCCUACUGUACGAACUUUGAACAUUUCUAUCAGCUAUAUAUUUGUUUUUAAUUAAAUUGUCUUUACCUUAUAUGUAAAUGUCACUUUGAAAUAUCUUAAGGAUAUUCAACUUCAGAUAUACCUAGCUAUAAUAAAUGGCGGAUUACCCUAAGGAGGUAUUCCUUCAGUUAUACUAUCUAUUCAAGAUGUAUGCAUCUGAUUAGCCUUCAAUGCAAAAAAUCAUGAUGCUGACUUUGCAGAUGACAAAGUCAUCCUAACAACGUCUAAGUAAUUGCCUUGGCUAAUUUACAAACUCAUCUAGAUCCAUUGUCUGAAUGGUACACAAAAUGGC